rnacentral:rRNA from 1 species
UACAGAGGGGGCAAGCGUUGUUCGGAAUUACUGGGCGUAAAGGGCGCGUAGGUGGCCUUCUAAGUUGAACGUGAAAUCCCUGGGCUCAACCCAGGAACUGCGUCCAAGACUGGGAGGCUUGAAUCCGGGAGAGGGAUGCGGAAUUCCAGGUGUAGCGGUGAAAUGCGUAGAUAUCAGGAGGAACACCGGUGGCGAAGGCGCACAUCUGGCCCGAUACUGACGCUGAGGCGCGAAAGCUAGGGGAGCAAACGGG